rnacentral:rRNA from 1 species
GGGUUGUGAGGUUAAGCGACUAAGCGUACACGGUGGAUGCCUAGGCAAUCAGAGGCGAUGAAGGACGUGCUAAUCUGCGAUAAGCGUCGGUAAGGUGAUAUGAACCGUUACAACCGACGAUUUCCGAAUGGGGAAACCCAGUGCAAUUCGUUGCACUAUCGUUUGAUGAAUACAUAGUCAAACGAAGCGAACCGGGGGAACUGAAACAUCUCAGUACCCCGAGGAAAAGAAAUCAACCGAGAUUCCCCUAGUAGCGGCGAGCGAACGGGGAACAGCCCAGAGUCUUAAUCAGCAUUAGCAUCAGGAGAACGGUCUGGAAAGUCCGGCAGUAAAGGGUGAUAGCCCCGUAUCCGAAGGUGUUAGUGUUGUGAACUCGACGAGUAGGGCGGGACACGUGUUAUCCUGUCUGAAUAUGGGGGGACCAUCCUCCAAGGCUAAAUACUCCUGAUUGACCGAUAGUGAACCAGUACCGUGAGGGAAAGGCGAAAAGAACCCCGGCGAGGGGAGUGAAAUAGAACCUGAAACCGUGUACGUACAAGCAGUGGGAGCCCCACCACCAAAGCAUUUUCUGGUGUUGAGGACAACUUUGAAGUGGCAUUCAACACGCGUUGACGGAGCGCUUUUUGCGACGUCCAACACACAAAACAAGCAGUGAAUGUGCUUUGGGGUGGGGUGACUGCGUACCUUUUGUAUAAUGGGUCAGCGACUUAUAUUCUGUAGCAAGGUUAACCGUAUAGGGGAGCCGUAGGGAAACCGAGUCUUAACUGGGCGAAUGAGUUGCAGGGUAUAGACCCGAAACCCGGUGAUCUAGCCAUGGGCAGGUUGAAGGUUGGGUAACACUAACUGGAGGACCGAACCGACUAAUGUUGAAAAAUUAGCGGAUGACUUGUGGCUGGGGGUGAAAGGCCAAUCAAACCGGGAGAUAGCUGGUUCUCCCCGAAAGCUAUUUAGGUAGCGCCUCGUGAACUCAUCUUCGGGGGUAGAGCACUGUUUCGACUAGGGGGUCAUCCCGACUUACCAACUCGAUGCAAACUACGAAUACCGAAGAAUGUUAUCACGGGAGACACACGGCGGGUGCUAACGUUCGUCGUGAAGAGGGAAACAACCCAGACCGCCAGCUAAGGUCCCAAAGUCAUAGUUAAGUGGGAAACGAAGUGGGAAGGCUCAGACAGCCAGGAUGUUGGCUUAGAAGCAGCCAUCAUUUAAAGAAAGCGUAAUAGCUCACUGGUCGAGUCGGCCUGCGCGGAAGAUGUAACGGGGCUAAACUAUGCACCGAAGCUGCGGCAGCGAUAUUUAGAUAUUGUUGGGUAGGGGAGCGUUCUGUAAGCCUGUGAAGGUGUACUGUGAGGUAUGCUGGAGGUAUCAGAAGUGCGAAUGCUGACAUAAGUAACGAUAAUGCGGGUGAAAAACCCGCACGCCGGAAGACCAAGGGUUCCUGUCCAACGUUAAUCGGGGCAGGGUGAGUCGACCCCUAAGGCGAGGCAGAAAUGCGUAGUCGAUGGGAAACGGGUUAAUAUUCCCGUACUGGUGAUAAUUGCGAUGGGGGGACGGAGAAGGCUAGGCUAUCCGGGCGACGGUUGUCCCGGUUUAAGAAUGUAGGCAGGUGAAUUAGGCAAAUCCGGUUCACUACAUGCUGAGGUUCGAUGACGAGUCACUACGGUGAUGAAGUAGCUCAUGCCCCGCUUCCAGGAAAAGCCUCUAAGCUCUAGAUUAUCAUUAAUCGUACCCCAAACCGACACAGGUGGUCAGGUAGAGAAUACUCAGGCGCUUGAGAGAACUCGGGUGAAGGAACUAGGCAAAAUGGUGCCGUAACUUCGGGAGAAGGCACGCUGGCGCUAGGUGAAGUCCCUCGCGGAUGGAGCUGAAGCCAGUCGCAGAUACCAGCUGGCUGCAACUGUUUAUUAAAAACACAGCACUGUGCAAACACGAAAGUGGACGUAUACGGUGUGACGCCUGCCCGGUGCUGGAAGGUUAAUUGAUGGGGUUAUCCGUAAGGAGAAGCUCUUGAUCGAAGCCCCAGUAAACGGCGGCCGUAACUAUAACGGUCCUAAGGUAGCGAAAUUCCUUGUCGGGUAAGUUCCGACCUGCACGAAUGGCGUAAUGAUGGCCAGGCUGUCUCCACCCGAGACUCAGUGAAAUUGAACUCGCUGUGAAGAUGCAGUGUACCCGCGGCAAGACGGAAAGACCCCGUGAACCUUUACUAUAGCUUGACACUGAACAUUGAGCCUUGAUGUGUAGGAUAGGUGGGAGGCUUCGAAGCGUGGACGCCAGUCUGCGUGGAGCCAACCUUGAAAUACCACCCUUUAAUGUUUGAUGUUCUAACGUUGCCCCGUUAUCCGGGGUGCGGACAGUGUCUGGUGGGUAGUUUGACUGGGGCGGUCUCCUCCCAAAGAGUAACGGAGGAGCACGAAGGUUGGCUAAGCAUGGUCGGACAUCAUGCGGUUAGUGCAAAGGCAUAAGCCAGCUUGACUGCGAGAGUGACGGCUCGAGCAGGUACGAAAGUAGGUCUUAGUGAUCCGGUGGUUCUGAAUGGAAGGGCCAUCGCUCAACGGAUAAAAGGUACUCCGGGGAUAACAGGCUGAUACCGCCCAAGAGUUCAUAUCGACGGCGGUGUUUGGCACCUCGAUGUCGGCUCAUCACAUCCUGGGGCUGAAGUAGGUCCCAAGGGUACGGCUGUUCGCCGUUUAAAGUGGUACGCGAGCUGGGUUUAGAACGUCGUGAGACAGUUCGGUCCCUAUCUGCCGUGGGCGUUGGAAGAUUGAAAGGGGCUGCUCCUAGUACGAGAGGACCGGAGUGGACGCACCACUGGUGUUCGGGUUGUCAUGCCAAUGGCAUUGCCCGGUAGCUAAGUGCGGAAGAGAUAACCGCUGAAAGCAUCUAAGCGGGAAACUUGCCUUGAGAUGAGUCUUCCCUGACCCUUUAAGGGUCCUAAAGGAACGUUUAAGACUAAGACGUUGAUAGGUUGGGUGUGUAAGCAUAGCGAUAUGUUGAGCUAACCAAUACUAAUGAACCGUGAGGCUUAACCUGACAACACCGAAGGUGUUUUAG